CCAUGGAGGUUGCGCCGGUGAGGAGCGAUUGAAGGUCGAUUGUGGCCGACGGAGAAACUGUGGUUUUGUGAGGGCGCUCGUUGGAGGUAGAAAAUGAGGGUGUGGAGUGUGUGGGUUCGCGGUCGAAGGAGGAGAAGAGGUGCGCGUUUGGAGGUUUGGAAGGAUUCGUUGGAAGGAGAAGAAGAUGAAGCUGAGUUUGAUGCGUCCCGUCUCCAGAUAAGCCUCCUCCUU
rnacentral:lncRNA from 1 species